GGGGAGCUCCAAGGGAAGGAAUGGUCUGAAAUGUCAAAGGUGUUGGAAAAAUCAAAGGGAAAGAGGCUGGAGAAGAGGCGGUUAGAAUUGGCUAGAAGGACAUCAUUAGAGAUUUGAGAGAGAGCAAUUCCUGCAGAGUGAAGUGGCUGAAAACCAGACUGCUGAGUGUCAGAGAGUACCAAAGUGGUGUUGCUAUGGAGAAUUCCAAGUACAGUGUUGGACAAUCACGGCCUUUUAACGUAUGUAUUUUUUCACCUACUGGGAGAAUUGGCGGUGUAGGGUUCCUUACCAGCUUCCUUUUCCCUUUGUGCUGAACAAGCUCUGCCAUGGACAGUAACUACAGCCAGCAUGUCGUCCAGUGCUUUAACCAAGAAACGGGCAUAGCAUGGAAAGCAGUGCUCCAUUGGAAGGUGAAAAGCCAUCACCUUCAAGAGGAGGAAGGCAAUGACAAGAUCAACCACAGUCCAGGAUGGUUGUGUUAAAGCCAUGUUGUCCCUGCUCCAAUGACCUGGAGUCUAUGGGCUGGAGGCAACGCUUUAAGAGUUUUAACAAAUGUGG
ensembl:lncRNA